GAAGCCUUCAGCACAAACUAGAAAAACAAGGAGAAUCAGCACGCUCAGAGAAGUUGCAGUGUCACCACGUCCCGGCACUGAAGACACACUCCUGGGCCUCUGACACAGGACAAUCUGUCUCCUGUUGGAAGCCUGGGCUCGAGUUCUUUGCAUUGCUGUGGAAACUCCACCAACAGUGCAUGAACUAAGUGCCCCACUCCCACCCUCACCCCAUCCCCAUCUUCGAAGUUUGCCUGAUCCAGGUGGGUGACAUUAGAAAUCCUGGAAUUGACUCUGAGGAUGGACAGACCCAAUCUGAAUCCUUAUCCCACUGCCUGCUGAACAAUCUUGGAACACUGCUCAGCUCUGGUUUAUGGUAGUGCUGGGGACUGACUCAACCUGGGACUUCAAGCGUCAGACAUUGGAGUCUUUGCACUGUGUGACCUUCCCAGCCCUUGAACAUCUGUUUUCCUAGGAAAUGUCUUACUACAAACAUUGACUUCACAGAGCUUUUUGACUGAGUUUCGCUACCAUGAUGUCAACCUGAAUUCCCUGGGCAGAUGACCCCACCAAUGUGUCCUGGAGCCCAGCCUCCCAGAUACCUGCCCCACUAGGGAAAGAGAGAGAGACAGGCUGGGGGUAUGGAUCAACCUGCCAAUGCCCAUGUUCAGUAGGAAGCAAUUACAGAAGUCAGACCUUCCACCUUUUGUACUCCAUAAUGAUCCUGUGUCCAUACUCCCAGAGGGAUAAAGAAUAGGGAAGCUGUCAAGGAAGGGGAUUGGAUACGGAACUCUGGGGGUGGCCACUGUGUGGAAAGGUACCCCUCUUAUUCUAUGAUCUUGUCAAUAUUUUUAUUUAUUUAUUUUUGCCUCCAGAGUUAUCACUGGGGCUCAGUGCCUGCACUACGAAUCCACUGCUCCUGGAGGCUAUUUUUUCCCAUUUUGUUGCCCUUGUUGUAGUUGUUAUUGUUACUGUUGUCAUAGCUGUUGUAAUUAUUUCCAUUUUACAAAUAAAAAUUUAAAAAAUCUGGGUGCUUGUGCCCCAGGUAUGAGUAGAGACAUUCUCCAAGUGAGUUGGCACCGAUCCACCCCCAUUCACCUAUCAAGUGAGAAAGCAGCUUUAGGCCUGUGACUAUGGGAUCAGGCAGGCUGUUAUUCUGACAUAGAAAUUUUGAUUCCAGAUUGUUCUGUCUGCAAAUAUGUGAGUCAAAUCUAUCUCAAACCUUUUUGGAAUGAAGUAGGGGUGUAAACUUAAAAAAAAUGUAGAUCUCUGGGGUGGGUGGGUGGGGGGAGAAUACAGAUCCAAAAAGGAUGAUAGAGGACAUAGUGGGGGUUGUAUUGUUAUAUGGAAAACUGGCAAAUAUUAUGCAUGUAGAAACUAUGGUAUUUACUGUCGAAUGUAAAACAUUAAUUCCCCAAUAAAGAAAUUUAAAAAAAAAAAAAGGAAAAAAUAUAGAUCUCCAUAGAGUGGAUCCUUUCUCCCCAAGGAAUCUUUUUUAAAAAGUGUGUGUGUGUUUCUUAAAAUGUUUCAUUUUCUUAAUCUGAUCUUUUAUUUACAUGCUGCAGCU